AGGCAGGUGUCUGACAUGCCUGAUUGUAAGACGGUGUGUUUGUCCCGUCAAUAAACCUCAAAGAUCAUUGCAGACAUCUGUGUUUCUUUUUCUGGGAUAGUCACCAUUUGAAGUGUCCUGGGGUGUGACGUAAGUAAACAAUAAUCUGGGCGCUGCUUCCAAUCUGUUUGGCGGUGUUUGGCACUGUGGGAAUGUGGGUGGUGUUUGGUAUCGCUGUAUCAAAUGAGACUGUUAAUAUCACAGCGAGAUUCCCCUACAUCAGUGAAUGCGACACCUAUGAACCACAGAGCUGUAUCUUUUGCCAGCUCUGCAACAUCUGUGCUGUCUUGAUCCUGUGUUGAUCCGGUUUCAGCAGGUCGUCUCACCUCUGGGCAUCUCCAUCCUCGGCAGCGUCCGGGUAUCGCUUUACGAUUACAAUAGGAUACUAUAACUACAGUAUUAUCUUCAUACGAAUCCCAAUAGCGCCCCAAAUCCUAGCAUGUUCCCAUAAAAAGAUGACAUGUUGAUAUGCCCCCAUAUAUGGUUGACAAUAUCCUGCCUGGCUCUUUCCCUCUCACCACCAUUUCUCUCUCCAUCCACCUCUUUCAGCAAUCUGUGUUUGGCAUCCAUGUGUUCGGGGCUUUUCUGGCCUUCUUUGUGAGCCUACUUCUGGUUGCAGGUGUGGCUCACCUAUAAAGUCCAGCCCUCUAAAGACCGUCGCUGAGUGGGGCCUCUCAGAGCUGCCCUCUGUAGCAUCUGCACAAUCUUGGUCAUCACAAGUGUCCUUUAACGUCAGAUCUAUCAGCUGAGAUAAAUCAGAGAGAGGGGAGAGCACAAGGGGAGUGCUCGACGAUCCAAAAUCAACAGAGCUGAAUGGUGAUCCAGGAUCAACAGAGCUGAAUGGUGAUCCAGGGUCAACACAGCUAACUAAAUUAUUUAAAAAAACAAUAAUCCUAAAUCAUGCUUCUUUACCUGAAUAUAAAGUGAGAACAUUGCACGUAAAAAAUAAUAUAAUAAACUGUAUGUCCUCCCUACAAACGACUAUAUUUUAGACAUUGUCACCUGUUUGCGUUGUGCUUCUUGACUCUCCUUUCCUCCUCAGUGACCAUGGGUCUACUCUUUGAUACUGGCUACUGCUCAAUGGCGUCCAUUUCCGAGUGGGUUCUCGUGAUGUGCUUCUUUUUCCUAGUUGGCCUCUUUGCAUCCGAGUUCCGUCAUAUCGACUGUCACCAGCUCACCGUGCAGAACCAAGGCCUCAGCGAGACACAGAGCAUGGGAUCAUAAUGGGAUCAUAAUGUACAUUAAACAGAACAGUAAUGUAAUAAUGAUAUGAUAAUUGAACAUUCAGCUCUGACUAAUGAGCUUUACAUAAGUGUACAUAUUUAAAACCUAUUGUUGAAUAAACUGCUACUCUUUUUAGUUAAUAAAAUACUACUAA